UCCCUGGUGACUUAGAUGGUAAAGAAUCUGCUUGCAAUGCAGGAGACCCUGGUUCAAUCCCUGGGUUGGGAA
rnacentral:tRNA from 1 species